AUCCUUUUGUAGUUCAUAAAUGUGAUGAUUGGGUGUUCACGCUCUUGUGUGACAUGUGCCUCCCACAAACUUUGUUAAGACAUAGGCAUAUUACCUGUCUGACA